rnacentral:rRNA from 1 species
AGACGUAGGGGGCGAGCGUUGUCCGGAAUUACUGGGCGUAAAGAGCACGUAGGCGGAUGUAUAAGUCAGGUGUGAAAGACCGCAGCUCAACUGCGGGGUUGCACUUGAAACUGAACAUCUUGAGGGCAGGAGAGGUUAGUGGAAUUCCUGGUGUAGCGGUGAAAUGCGUAGAAAUCAGGAGGAACACCAGUGGCGAAGGCGACUGACUGGACUGACCCUGACGCUGAGGUGCGAAAGCGUGGGUAGCAAACAGGAUUAGAUACCCUGGUAGUCCACGCCGUAAACGAUGGAUACUAGGUGUGGGAGGUAUCGACCCCUUCCGUGCCGGAGCAAACGCAAUAAGUAUCCCGCCUGGGGAGUACGGUCGCAAGGCUGAA